AAAUUGAAGAGUUUGAUCAUGGCUCAGAUUGAACGCUGGCGGCAGGCCUAACACAUGCAAGUCGAGCGGAAACGAGUUAUCUGAACCUUCGGGGGACGAUAGCGGCGUCGAGCGGCGGACGGGUGAGUAAUGCCUAGGAAAUUGCCCUGAUGUGGGGGAUAACCAUUGGAAACGAUGGCUAAUACCGCAUGAUGCCUACGGGCCAAAGAGGGGGACCUUCGGGCCUCUC
rnacentral:rRNA from 1 species